rnacentral:tRNA from 1 species
GCGUAAUUGGUUUAGUGGUAAAAUUCUCCGUUGCCAGUCAUGUGACCAGAAUAUAUUAUUUAAUAAAUUUAAUUAUUUUUUAUUUUCUUUGAAUCAAUUAAUUUAUAGUAUUAAAUCUUUAGGGUAUUAUGGGUUCCGAAGGAACCUAUAAUACCCUAAAGAGCCCUAGGUUUGAUUCCCAGAUUACGCA